rnacentral:sRNA from 1 species
CCAUCUUCUCUUUUAGUUCUUGUCCGGUGAUU